rnacentral:rRNA from 1 species
UGGGGAAUAUUGCGCAAUGGGGGAAACCCUGACGCAGCGACGCCGCGUGAGCGAAGAAGGCCUUAGGGUUGUAAAGCUCUGUUUUAAGGGACGAAUGUUCAUACGAGUAACAUGCGUGUGAAAUGACGGUACCUUAAGAGGAAGCCCCGGCUAACUACGUGCCAGCAGCCGCGGUAAGACGUAGGGGGCGAGCGUUGUCCGGAAUUACUGGGCGUAAAGAGCACGUAGGCGGGAACCUAAGUCAGGUGUGAAAGACCGGGGCUCAACUCCGGGGUGGCACUUGAAACUGGGUUUCUUGAGGGCAGGAGAGGAAAGUAGAAUUCCUGGUGUAGCGGUGAAAUGCGUAGAAAUCAGGAGGAAUACCAGUGGCGAAGGCGGCUUUCUGGACUGACCCUGACGCUGAGGUGCGAAAGCGUGGGUAGCAAACAG